UCACAGUGAUCCACUGUUCAACAAGUGUGCACAUGGCAGUGACAUUCCAGCCAGAAAGUGGUUAAAACCUGGUAAACAAAACUGGUUAUAGUAUUCUUAUGUAGCUGUAUAUUGCUUGUGAUAUUAUCCUUGAGUGGAGAGAUGAUGCAUGCUUGCUUUUUAAAUCCUAUGUUAUAGAUUCACAGCUCUAUGAGAAAGUCUCUGCUGCACUUACCAACCAAAGACUGAUAAAAGGCAUUCAACAGGCUUCACCAUUAGACCAGACAAGUUGCCUUGAGGGAUUUCACAGUGUCUUAAAUCAAUUUGC